GUGAAGAACGUAGCGAAAUGCGAUAAGUAGUGUGAAUUGCAGAAUUCAGUGAAUCAUCGAAUCUUUGAACGCACAUUGCGCCUUCUAGUAUUCUGGGAGGCAUGCCUGUUUGAGCGUCAUUAAACCUCUCUCAAGUAUGAUUACUUGGAUGUGAAGGAAGAGUACCUUAAACUUAAGGAGUGUUCUCCUUUGAAAUUGAUUAGCAGAUGGUAAUGUUAUUAAAUCCCUGAUGUUGUAAGAAAUAACAGUGGUUUUGUAGACUAUUAUCUAGCUUUAAAUUAUAAUUUUUAUUAUGGUUGACCUCAAAUCAGGUAAGGAUACCCGCUGAACUUAAGCAUAUCAAUAAGCGGAGGA
rnacentral:misc_RNA from 1 species